GGAAAAUUUACCAGUCAUGUUUGAGGUAUGCACACGCCAAUUGCGUUGAGGUUCAAAAAAACGUCCAAGAAAAUUAUGGAUGCUGAAUUGAUACAGAACCUCUUCCUCGUUGGUUUUGGUCCGUCAUUGAAUACAUGGCCCAGGUGUGCUCCACAUUUUGAACAGGUCACCUCCGUCCGCAUCAUAUCUGGGUUUGCGAUCAGCAAUAGUAGAUUUCCACCGACUGUUUCGCGUCGUUUAUUGACGCAGUUUUUUUUCAAUUUCGAUGGUGAAUAGGUGAGGAAGGCAAGAGGAAAGACAGAACAAUAGAGUGUGAUUAAAUUGAGACCCACACCGUUUCCUUAUUAUUUUCUUUUUCGUUGACAUUUUGAACUACUCGAAUUUUGUUGUGUAAAUUUUUGCGAUAAAGUUUCUUUCUUUCUGCAUUCCAUUAUUAAAUCGAAUGAUUUCCAAUUUUAUACAGUGGCACUUAACUUCCUUCAAGCAUAUGUAUUGGUUAACAGCAAUUAAUUUUCUCAAAAAAAAUUGUGAAAUAAUAGGAUAGCCGCGCCAAUUAGAAUGAAUAAAGUGUAAUUAUACAAAAAUGCAAAAUUAAAUGUACUUCUGACAGUUUUGAUUCUGAUUUUUAAAAAUGAUGUAAGUCUACUACAAUCACACUCUAAGCGUAGUCAUGCGGGCAGUUCGGAAAUUAAAAUUUUAUGUACUAUUUUUCUAUUCUUGUCAAGUAAUUAUGAUAACAACUGUGAAUAAUAAUAAUCAAUCCUCGUCUAAGAUCCUGAUAUUAUUUGAAUAUUAUCGUAUGCUAGUAUAAAUCUGCUUUUAGAAUUUAGAACACAGUACAUUUUAAAUUUACAAGGAGUUAAAAGGGCACAAGGGUGAAUGUAUUUUUAAAUAUCAGAUUAACAGAAAUAUCUUACAAGUAACCAGGUAACCACGUUAAUGUUUCCAAAAUUUGUUUAUGUAAAAUUUAGAAUCUUCAAAUAUAAUAGUCAUACAUCAGUAAA